CUUUGUGCCAUGUAUGAAAAAAACGUGUGAAAUUUUUUAAGAUUAGAGUUGGGAGGAAAACUGACUUUGGCAUACUGAGGCUGUAUUCGGGUUCUUAGACUCCUGCUUGGGAUGUCUGCACGUUGGCACGCCCUUGGCGUCGGGGAGGAGCAGAAUAGACGAUCUCAUUUUCUUAACCGUGGAUCUCCUCCCCUAGACUUGUUGCCUAGGGUAAAAACAUACCUCAGGUAAUUUCUAGUACAAAGAACAAGAAAGCCCUGUGAAGACGGCCUGUUCCAUCCUUCAUCACCCUCGUUACAUCGCCGGUUUGUGCGUCCCCUAAGAACCAUCAUGUGGGUAUCACCUGGGCUGCCACCGUCCACUAGUCACGUCUGCCUGUCCCUGUGCUUAAAGCACUCAUCGUACUUCGCAGAAGAUUCGCUCACACGUCCUUUGAUUCUAGCUAUUCUACUGGGCUUCUCUGGCGGCUUAGAUGGUAAAGCGUCUGCCUGCAAUGCGGGAGACCUGGGUUCAAUCCCUGGGUCGGGAAGAUCUCCUGGAGAAGGAAAAGGCAACCCACUCCAGUGUUAUGGCCUGAAGAAUUCCAUGAACUGUAUAGUCCAUGCGGUCACAAAGAGUCAGGUAUGACUGAGUGACUUCCACUUUCAUUCUACAGGGCACAUAAUAGUAUCUCACUGUGGUUUUAAUUUGAUGACUAAUGAUGUAGAACAACUUUUCAAGUACUUAUUUGCCAUUUGUAUACCUUCUUUGGUACAGUAUCUAUUAAACUUUUUAAUGGAUUGACUUUUUUUUUUUUUUGACAGCACCUCACAGCUUGUGGGAUCUUAGUUCCCCGAAUAGGAAUAGAACCUUGUGCCCUCAGCACUGAAUGUGUGGAGUCUUAGCCACUGGAAUGCCAGGGAAUUUUUAGUUUCUUAUAAAGCUUUCAGGCUUCCCUUGUAGCUCAGCUGGUAAAGAAUCCACCUGCCAUGCAGGAGACCUGGGUUUGAUCCCUGGUUGGGAAGAUCCCCUGGAGAAGGGAAAGGCUACCCACUCCAGUAUUCUGGCCUGAAGAAUUCCAUGGACUGUAUAGUCCAUGGGGUCACAAAGAGUCAGACACGACUGAGUGACUUUCGCUUUCACUAUAAAGCAUUCACCUCCAAAAUGACCAAGCAAUUCCACUAGUAAAUAUUUACCCACAAGAAAUGAAAACAUAUGGCCACUAAAAUAGUCAUACAAAGAUCUUCAUAACAUAUUGAACCCAGGUCUCCCACGUUGCAGGC
ensembl:lncRNA